UGCAAGUCGAACGAAGUAGCAAUACUUAGUGGCAGACGGGUGAGUAACAUGUAGGUAUCUGCCCUUUGGCCUGGAAUAACACGAGGAAACUUGUGCUAAUACCGGAUAAGUCUUUACGGAGAAAGCUUUAUGCACCAUUGGAUGAGCCUGCACUUGAUUAGUUUGUUGGUGGGGUAAUGGCCUACCAAGACUGUGAUCAAUAGCUGAUUUGAGAGGAUGAUCAGCCACAUUGGGACUGAGACACGGCCCAAACUCCUACGGGAGGCAGCAGUGGGGAAUCUUGCACAAUGGAGGAAACUCUGAUGCAGCGAUGCCGCGUGAGUGAAGAAGGCCUUUGGGUUGUAAAGCUCUUUCGUCGGGGAAGAAAAUGACUGUACCCGAAUAAGAAGGUCCGGCUAACUUCGUGCCAGCAGCCGCGGUAAUACGAAGGGACCUAGCGUAGUUCGGAAUUACUGGGCUUAAAGAGUUCGUAGGUGGUUGAAAAAGUUAGUGGUGAAAUCCCAGAGCUUAACUCUGGAACUGCCAUUAAAACUUUUCAGCUAGAGUAUGAUAGAGGAAAGCAGAAUUUCUAGUGUAGAGGUGAAAUUCGUAGAUAUUAGAAAGAAUACCAAUUGCGAAGGCAGCUUUCUGGAUCAUUACUGACACUGAGGAACGAAAGCAUGGGUAGCGAAGAGGAUUAGAUACCCUCGUAGUCCAUGCCGUAAACGAUGUGUGUUAGACGUUGGAAAUUUAUUUUCAGUGUCGCAGGGAAACCGAUAAACACACCGCCUGGGGAGUACGACCGCAAGGUUAAAACUCAAAUGAAUUGACGGGGACCCGCACAAGUAGUGGAGCAUGUGGUUUAAUUCGAAGAUACGCGCAGAACCUUACCAACACUUGACAUGUUCGUCGCGACUCUAAGAGAUUAGAGUUUUCGGUUCGGCCGGACGAAACACAGGUGCUGCAUGGCUGUCGUCAGCUCGUGUCGUGAGAUGUUGGGUUAAGUCCCGCAACGAGCGCAACCCUCACUUUUAGUUGCCAUCAUUAAGUUGGGCACUCUGAAAGAACUGCCAGUGAUAAGCUGGAGGAAGGUGGGGAUGACGUCAAGUCCUCAUGGCCCUUACGUGUUGGGCUACACACGUGCUACAAUGGCAUCUACAACAGGAAGCAAAACGGCAACGUUAAGCAAAUCCCGAAAAGAUGCCUCAGUUCGGAUUGCACUCUGCAACUCGAGUGCAUGAAGCUGGAAUUACUAGUAAUCGUGGAUCAGCGUGCCACGGUGAAUGCGUUCCCGGGUCUUGUACACACCGCCCGUCACACCAUGGGAGUUGGUUCUACCUUAAGGCAAGGUUUU
rnacentral:rRNA from 1 species